GCCCCAGAAAAAAUCUGAGGUGUAACCUGCCCAGUGGUUUUUAAUAAGUAGAAAUAAUAAUUCUUAAAAAAAACUAAAAGGACGCGGUAACCUUGACCGUGAUAAUGUAGCAUAAUCACUCGCCAUUUAAUUGAUGGAUAGUAUGAAUGGUUGAACGAAUAUUCCCCUGUCUUAGACAAAAUAAUAAAAAAUUGAAAUAAUAGUUAAGAUGCUAUUUUUUACUGUAAGACGAAAAGACCCUAUAGAGCUUAACUAUAACCUUUUUAUAUAAAAAGAAAAUAAAUUCUAUACUUAAAAAGGUUGGUAGUUUAGUUGGGGCGACUGUCUUCUAUAUUGAACGAAGACAAGCAAUGUUAAUAAAAAACUUAUUGUAUAACAAAAAUGUUUAACAAUUAUAAAAAUAGGCUAUAAUGACCCGUUAAUACUUAAUAAAAAGAAUAACGAUUAAUUAAUAAAAGCUACCUUAGGGAUAACAGGAUUAUUUCAUUUCAGAGUUCAUAUCGAAAAUGAAGUUUGUCACCUCUAUGUUGAAUUAAGAUAUCCUGAUAAUGCAGAAGUUAUCAAAGGUAGGUCUGUUCGACCUUUAAAAUCUU
rnacentral:rRNA from 1 species